UUUUCCUAUUUUCCUCCCCCGGUUUCUCUCUUCUCUCUCCUCGCCCCCGACACUUUCUUCUUUCUGGGCUUUCUUCCUCCGCCUGCAGCGCCGCCGUCCGUCGACGCCAAGCCGCCCCUGAGCCACCAAAGCUUCGCCUCGACCUCUCCUAGCUGCUGGACGUGACCUUUUCCACCCGGACGGCCUCAAUUCCGGCAGUUUUGAGCUGCAAGCUUUGAACCAUAAAAGGGUCAACGCCGGUUUUCUCCUAGCUCCGGCCACCAAAACUUCCGAUCCUUAGCUCUAUGAACUCGUCUCAACAUGCUGAUCAUCAUACCAGAAGGAUCACACCUGUAGUGACCGGUUUCACGUUCGUCGGAGCUCGGCCGGUUUUCGAUCGAAAACCAAAACCUUUCGAUCGAGAUAUCUCGAGGUACAGACCAUCAUUUCUUGUGAUUCUUGAGCUGAUGAACUCAUAUUGAAGUUAUGAACAACUUUCAUGAAGGGAUCGAAGCGAUUUGUUGAAGUUUUUACGUCGGAAUUCAAGCUCGCCGGAUUCUGGGGUUUUUCCGGCCACCGAAGCUUUCGAUCAUGAUAUCUCGAUCUGUAGAGCUUCGUUUUAGUGAUUCUUGAACCAGUGAGUUCGCCUUGAUGUUAUUAACAACUAUCCAGAAGGAAUCGAGGCCUGAAAGUGAAGUUUUUACGUCGAAAUCAAGCUCGCCGGUUCUGCAAAUUAUCGCAGGAUUCUGGAAAUUUGCCGGCCAACCCGACUGUUCAAGGUACUUGACGGUUUGAGUUGACGAGCGUUUGGAAUAUCGUUAUAUUUGACAUUUUAGAAGACGCAGCUGGAUUAGAGCGGGUAAUCUCACAGGUCAGGAGAAUCAGGGCAGUGAUCGUGCGGUUUAGAGUAGUAGUAUUAGAUUUGCAGCAUUUGUUUUUGUGAGGAGAAUUAUACUCAUUUGGGUUUUACAAUUUGUUUUGGUGAGAGUGUGCUGUAAUAAGUAGCUUGAGGAUUUUGUUUAUGUAAUAUCAAGAGGUGUAACUAGUGGUUGUUUCUGAGAGAAAAAUUCAGAACGUUAUUUGUAUUGUUAUUAGUCAUGUUCCGGAUUUGAAUCCUUAUUUCAAAAUUCGGGGUGUGGCACUCUAUAAUCAGAUGCAAGACCUUACAAUUCUUUGA